rnacentral:rRNA from 1 species
UAUACGGUAGAGAUUCCGUAACCUCCGAAAAGUAAAGCACAGGGACGCUUCAGAAGUGUUACGCCGGGCGAUGGUAGCCCCGGUUGUAAAGGACACAAUUGAGUGGAAGGUAACAUGGAUGGAGACAAGAAAAGCUGUGUGUAUCUGGAAGGAGCCCGUACCGCAAACCGACACAGGUAGAUAGGAAGAAGAUUCUAAGGCCAGCGGGAGAAGGGUUGUUAAGGAACUCGGCAAGUUGACCCCGUAACUUCGGGAGAAGGGGUGCUUACGAAGGUAAGCCGCAGAGAAUAGGCCCAAGCGACUGUUUAGCAAAAACACAGCUCUAUGCUAAAUCGAAAGAUGACGUAUAUGGGGUGACACCUGCCCGGUGCUGGAAGGUUAAGAGGAGAUGUGAGAGCAUUGAAUUGAAGCCCCAGUAAACGGCGGCCGUAACAAUAACGGUCCUAAGGUAGCGAAAUUCCUUGUCAGGUAAGUUCUGACCCGCACGAAUGGUGUAACGAUUUGGGCACUGUCUCAACAACCUACCCGGCGAAAUUGUAGUACCGGUGAAGAUGCCGGUUACCCGCGACUAGACGGAAAGACCCCAUGGAGCUUCACUGUAGCUUAAUAUCGAAUUUUGGUAUUUCAUGUACAGGAUAGGUGGGAGACUGGGAAAUACAGGCGUCAGCUUGUAUGGAGUCACUGUUGGGAUACCACUCUUGAGGUGCUGAAAUUCUAACCUGCGUCUUUGAAUCAAGACGGGGGACAUUGUUAGGUGGGCAGUUUGACUGGGGCGGUCGCCUCCAAAAGAGUAACGGAGGCGCUCAAAGGUUCGCUCAGCAUGGACGGAAACCAUGCCAAAGAGUGCAAACGCAAAAGCGAGCCUAACUGCGAGACUGACGGGUCGAGCAGUAACGAAAGUUGGUGUUAGUGAUCCGGCGGUAUGUGAGUGGAAAUGCCGUCGCUCAACGGAUAAAAGCUACCCUGGGGAUAACAGGCUGAUCUCCCCCAAGAGUCCACAUCGACGGGGAGGUUUGGCACCUCGAUGUCGGCUCAUCGCAUCCUGGGGCUGAAUUCGGUCCCAAGGGUUUGGCUGUUCGCCAAUUAAAGCGGUACGCGAGCUGGGUUCAGAACGUCGUGAGACAGUUCGGUCCCUAUCUGUCGUGGGCGUAGGAUAUUUGAAAGGAGCUGUCCCUAGUACGAGAGGACCGGGAUGGACGCACCUCUGGUGAACCAGUUGUCACGCCAGAGGCACGGCUGGGCAGCUAAGUGCGGAACGGAUAAACGCUGAAAGCAUCUAAGCGUGAAGCCGACCUUAAGAUAAGAUAUCCGUUCUUCGGAAUAAGACCCCUUGUAGACUACGAGGUUGAUAGGCUUAAAGUGUAAGCAUGGUGACAUGUUUAGCUUGCAAGUACUAAUCGGUCGAUUGCUUUU